UGCGUAGGUGGCAAGCGUUAUCCGGAAUUAUUGGGCGUAAAGCGCGCGUAGGCGGUUUUUUAAGUCUGAUGUGAAAGCCCACGGCUCAACCGUUGAGGGUCAUUGGAAACUGGAAAACUUGAGUGCAGAAGAGGAAAGUGGAAUUCCAUGUGUAGCGGUGAAAUGCGCAGAGAUAUGGAGGAACACCAGUGGCGAAGGCGACUUUCUGGUCUGUAACUGACGCUGAUGUGCGAAAGCGUGGGGAUCAAACAGG
rnacentral:rRNA from 1 species